GAGCGGUAAGGCCUUUCGGGGUACACGAGCGGCGAACGGGUGAGUAACACGUGGGUGAUCUGCCCUGCACUUCGGGAUAAGCCUGGGAAACUGGGUCUAAUACCGGAUAUGACCUCCUACGGGAGGCGGUGGAAAGAUUUAUCGGUGCAGGAUGGGCCCGCGGCCUAUCAGCUUGUUGGUGGGGUAAUGGCCUACCAAGGCGACGACGGGUAGCCGACCUGAGAGGGUGACCGGCCACACUGGGACUGAGACACGGCCCAGACUCCUACGGGAGGCAGCAGUGGGGAAUAUUGCACAAUGGGCGAAAGCCUGAUGCAGCGACGCCGCGUGAGGGAUGACGGCCUUCGGGUUGUAAACCUCUUUCAGCAGGGACGAAGCGCAAGUGACGGUACCUGCAGAAGAAGCACCGGCUAACUACGUGCCAGCAGCCGCGGUAAUACGUAGGGUGCAAGCGUUGUCCGGAAUUACUGGGCGUAAAGAGUUCGUAGGCGGUUUGUCGCGUCGUUUGUGAAAACCAGCAGCUCAACUGCUGGCUUGCAGGCGAUACGGGCAGACUUGAGUACUGCAGGGGAGACUGGAAUUCCUGGUGUAGCGGUGAAAUGCGCAGAUAUCAGGAGGAA
rnacentral:rRNA from 1 species